AGGUGAACCUGCGGAAGGAUCAUUAAUGAAAAAAACUUCUCGAAUAGUUUUUUUUAAUCCCAUUGUCUACUUACCAUGUUGCUUCCACUGGACCUUAUUUAUGUAAGACCUUUGGCUUGUGUGAAUAAACUCAAGUCAGAGAGUUGCCAGUGGCAGGACUAUUUACUAAAACUUGAUUUAAAAACACAUUGUCUGAAUCUUUUGCUUCAAUAUAAUAAAACUUUCAACAACGGAUCUCUAGGCUCUUGCAUCGAUGAAGAACGCAGUGAAAUGCGAUAAGUAAUGUGAAUUGCAGAAUCUCGUGAAUCAUCGAAUCUUUGAACGCACAUUGCGCCCUAUGGUAUUCCGUAGGGCAUGCCUGUCUGAGAGUCAGCUCCCACCCACUCAGGUAUCUGUUUAUCGGAUGCUUGGAAUGCUUUGGAGAGGCGUCUUAUUAUAGAAACGCCCCCCAGAAAUUAAUAGGCAGUAUGGUUUGCACCUGAACCAGAGACGUAAUAAUAAUAAAAUCGUUUUGUUUAGGUAUAAUUGUGCUUGCCUCAA
rnacentral:rRNA from 1 species